UGCAUGAUAGCUAAUAUUAAUCUACACCGGUUAUGAUGAUUCUCAGUGACGGGCACAAGACCAGAUGAAGAGACAAUUGAAAGAUUGAUUGCAACUGGAGAUAGCGAACAAAUAUUCUAGAAAGCAAUUCAGGAGCAGGGACGGGGCUAGAUAAUGAGCACCGUGUUUGAAAUUCAAGAGCGCCACGAUGCUGUGCGAGAUUUGGAGAAGAUG